rnacentral:rRNA from 1 species
AUUGAACGCUGGCGGCAGGCCUAACACAUGCAAGUCGAACGAGUGGCGGACGGGUGAGUAAUGUCUGGGAAACUGCCCGAUGGAGGGGGAUAACUAUUGGAAACGGUAGCUAAUACCGCAUACCAGCGGAUGGGCCCAGAUGGGAUUAGCUAGUAGGUGGGGUAACGGCUCACCUAGGCGACGAUCCCUAGCUGGUCUGAGAGGAUGACCAGCCACACUGGAACGGAGACACGGUCCAGACGCCUACGGUAGGCAGCAGUGGGGAAUAUUGCACAAUGGGCGCAAGCCGUAUGCAGCCAUGCCGCGUGUAUGAAGAAGGCCUUCGGGUUGUAAAGUACUUUCAGCGGGGAGGCGUUACCCGCAGAAGAAGCACCGGCUAACUCCGUGCCAGCAGCCGCGGUAAUUC